GAUGAACGCUGGCGGCGUGCCUAAUACAUGCAAGUCGAGCGAACAGACGAGUAUCUUGCUCCUCUGACUUUAGCGGCGGACGUGUGAGUAACACGUGGAUAACCUACCUAUAAGACUGGUAUAACUUCGGGAAACCGGAUCUAAUACCGGAUAAUAUAUUGAACCGCAUGGUUCAAUAGUUAAAGACGGUUUUUCUUUCUCUUAUAUAUGUAUCCGCUCCGCAUUAGCUAGUUGGUAAGGUAACGGCUUACCAAGGCAACGAUGCGUAGCCGACCUGAGAGGGUGAUCGGCCACACUGGAACUGAGACACGGUCCAGACGCCUACGGGAGGCAGCAGUAGGGAAUAUUACGCAAUGGGCGAAAGCUGGACGGAGAAACGCCGAGUGAGUGAUGAAGGUCUUAGGAUCGUAAAAAUCUGUUAUUAGGGAAGAACAAAUGUGUAAGUAAAUAUGCACGUAUUGACGGUACCUAAUAAGAAAGCAACGGCUAACUACGUG
rnacentral:rRNA from 1 species